CGUAGUGUAGUGGUUAUCACGUUGGCCUCACACGCGAAAGGUCCCCAGUUCGAAACUGGGCG
rnacentral:tRNA from 1 species